GUAUUGGUGGUUCAGUGGUAGAAUGCUCGGCUGCUUCGCGGGACAACUUGAGUCGAUUCCCGGCUAAUACA
rfam:Danio rerio chromosome 4, GRCz11 reference primary assembly.